AACUGAUACUACCUGCGGGAACCUGCGGAAGGAUCAUUACCACGCGAUCCAAAUCCACAUCCCAAUUGUAUCCUUGGUUGGUGUUAAAGCCGCCGAGGAUGCAGUGUGAACUUGAGUUGUUUCAACUCACAGCGCGCGCCUCGACAUUCCAGGCCGUGGGGAGGCACAGCGGCUUCGUCCGCAGUGUCUCUGUCGAGGUUUUAUCAGUCGCGCUUUACAAAUCCCCAAACCUCACGCGCC
rnacentral:misc_RNA from 1 species